GGGCUGUGAUGAUAUCAAGAGAACGGUUUCGCAUAUUCCUGAAUUCCGGUGAUGUGUUAUCUCUUGGCUGUCUGAGCUU